AUGGUAGCUGGGUUCAAAACCACGGAACCUCUGGUAAUUACAGGAGAUUUCUGAAAGAGAUCUGCCUUGCUGAUGAAAGAGAACUUGGUGAAUUCAGAACCACAACUGUCAACACAGGUUCAAUUAGUACUGCAGUCGGUUCUCCUUUAGUGAAGCUGGGAAAUACUACAGUAAUGUGUAAGGUUAAAGCAGAGUUUGCAGCACCAUCCACAGAUGCUUCCAUAAAGGAUCUGUGGCUCCCACUGGGGCUCUGCCACCCUUGUGUUCCACUGAGAUUUCAGUCUGGACCUCCUGGAGAAGAGAUCCAAGCCACUAGCCAGAUCACUGAAGAUAUCACUGAAAAUUCACAGAUAAUUCAGAAAAGGAAUUUAUGCAUUUCUCCAGGAAAGCGUGCUUGAAUUCUAUGCUAUGAUCUCAUUCGCCUCUCUCAUUUGCCUAUUAUGGAAGCAUUUUGGAUGCCUGCACAUUUGCUUUGUAAGCAGCUUUUUAAAAUGUACAGUUGCCUGAAGUUGCUAGAAAGAGACUAUUUUAGCAGAAGUUAAGAAGAGAAGUUAUUUGAAUACUAGAACUUACCCAGCUGCAACUUCCUUUGCCGUGUUUGAUGACACUUUGCUCAUAGCUGACCUGACUGGAGAGGAGGAACAUCUGGCAACUGGAAUCUUAAUAACAGUAAUGGAAGAGGAAGCAGGCUCUGGUGUCCUCACCAAGCAGGUAAAAGUGGGCUGACUGGAGCUAGACUCCAGGACUAGAUGAACCGAGCUGUUACAAGACACAAAGCUAUUUAAAAUGCAAUGGAUGAAGUA
rnacentral:lncRNA from 1 species